NNNNNNNNNNNNNNNNNNNNNNNNNNNNNNNNNNNNNNNNNNNNNNCCCCGCCUGCAGCACUGCUGCUGCGCCCCGCAGUGCCCCGCUGCGCCGCACUGCGCCGCACACUGCGGGGCACGACGCUGCACCCUGCACCUGCCCGCUGCACCCACAGCACUGCACGCGGCGCCACAAAGUGAACGCACUGCAGAGCUCUGCGCUGCACCGCAUGCACCGCGCACUGAAGGCGCGUCACGCUGCACAUGCACUGCACACCCAGUGUACAUGCUGCGUGCACUGUGCAGGCCCCACUGCAACAGUUGCAAUGUGACAGCCACAAUACACCACACUGCACACACUGUGCAGCAGUCACGCUGAACAACCUGCACGCAGACUGCAGUGACACACACGGCACCACACUACAUGCAUGUUGCAACACACCACAACAGGCCCACUGGAACACACUGCAACAGUCACAUAUGCACUGCGACAUUCCUUGCAACACUGCAACACACAGCAGCACUCACACGCACUGCAAUACGCACCGCAUCACUUGCACACCCUGCAGCGUGUGGCAACACUCACGUUGUAACACACUGCAACAGGCAACGCUCACCGACGCUGCACUGUGCUGCAGUAUGCAGUGCAGCAUGCAACACCGCAGCAGCCACAUACAGGGGAGCGCGCGCACUGCAACACGCUGCGCGCACUGCAGCACUCGCGGCGGGACACCCUCCAAGAGCGCAGAACUCCCCGGCUGUCGCGUACUGCAGGUCACACGCUGCCGCACUCGCACUGCGGUGGCUGUGCACCCAGCAGUGCAGUUGCACUCAACAGCACACUGUAACGCACACUGCAGCACUCACACGCUGCACCACACUGCACACAGAUUGCAGCACACCCGCUGCAGCACACACUGCAACCUGUUGUGCUGCAACUUACACUGCAACAGGCAACAUGGUGCUGCAGCCGCAUGCGGGGCAACACAUAGAGUACACCGCAGCACCCACUGCAGAGCGCGCUUGACCACACUGCAAAACUCACACAUGCACUGUAGCACACUGCGGGCCACACACACCACAGGAGCAGCAACACUGCGAUGCCCCUGCACAGGCUGCAGUGUGCACUGCAGCACUCAGGCAGCGGAGGCCUGCACACUGCAAUGCACCCUGCGGCGCUGCACUGCUGUGCCCCUGCACACUGUGGUGUGCACCACAGCACUGGCACUGCUGUAGGCGUGCACACUGCAAUGCACCCUGCAGCACAGGCCACACACACCACAGGAGCAGCAACACUGCGAUGCCCCUGCACAGGCUGCAGUGUGCACUGCAGCACUCAGGCAGCGGAGGCCUGCACACUGCAAUGCACCCUGCGGCGCUGCACUGCUGUGCCCCUGCACACUGUGGUGUGCACCACAGC
rnacentral:lncRNA from 1 species